CAAUCACACGCGGCGAGCCUUUCAUGCGUUUGCAUGAAAAUCAGGCUACGCCAGCAUUUAUGCCCCGUCACAGACAUGCCGCAGGCGUCUACGAAAAUAGAGGCCUCAGCUCGCUCCGAGAACUAAUUUGAAUUGCAGGACUUUCAAAUGCAGCUCGCAGUUCUGGCUUUACUCACCGCGGCCGGGGCCGUCCGUCGCUUUGCCGGGCGUGGCUGCCGAUGUACCGGCGCGUCUCUACACCCCGCUCGGUGAAACUUUUCGAAUGACCGUUGAUAUAUAAACAGCCAUUCAGCAAUGAGGUAACCUGGAAACUGGAGGAUUAAUUCCUUUGUCACGCAGUUUGAUGCCAUUCAACUAUGGAGGUGACAGAAUGCGAACAGAGGAAAACGGUCGACUGUUUCUUAACAACAGUUUCCUUCCUGCUCAGAGAUAUGAGUGGCGGGGAGGGAUAAGAGAGGGGACCAAGUCCAAAUCGACAAAGUGGCAGUUCAGGGACAUUUGUCAGCCCCUGCUUUCAAAUUGCUAGUGUCAGAGUAAUCAGCACCACCUCGGCCACGCACCUGCUGUGAAUAAGCUUUCAUCAUCACCCGCAUUGAAGCCUCCCAGAUCCAAGACUCCACUGCCAGAGUAUUAACGUUCGCCCGUGUGCUCCUUCCGUGUUCCCCGGCUUGCUGACCUCUUCCACCACGCCUUCAAGCCAUCCACUUGCUCACGCCACCACCUGCUGCACGCUCCCUGUCUCAACGACCCGCCGGUACGCCUCAAGGGUCCACCUCCGAAUCCCUUUUCAAUAAACCAUUCUCCACAAAACCUCUUCAGCCUCCGCCUGCUUCUGGGUCCAGUUAAAAUCACAUCGUGACAGAAAAUUUUCAGUUGGUGAUGUUCACAUGGUUCACUUUCACCAUAAGCACUCCUGUUGAGGACUCGCUUGCUCUGCAGGGGGACUUCAAUGCUCAG